rnacentral:lncRNA from 1 species
CGCCGACUUACAACUAAGUGCUAGACAGGUCAAGGGUGAAUUUGAAGCCCGAAACCCUACUAUAAUGAAAUACCUUUAGAAGGUGAAAUAUAUUACAGCGAGCUUGAAAUAUUUUGAGAUCUUUUACAUUUUCAAAAUUGAAAAUGCUCGGACCGACAUACUUUCAUGAUUGACUACUACCACUUUUAACUCACUGGAUCAGACAUUCGUUGAAUGUCUCGAAUAGUCAAGUAUCGACAAAGUCGAAGAAGUAUUGCAGCUCACUAUUGA